AACUGGUGUUUCUGAAAAGCAAAACAAAUACGUGGUUACAUGUUGGGGUUGGUAUCACGAUGAGUAUAAUGAAGAAGGUGAUUUUAAGAUCUCCAGAGAAGUACGCACCAUGAGGUAUUAAUCGGUGUACCAAUAAUGACAGAGUUUCAAAGAGGCACAUAGCCAAGGAAUUGGAGAUGGGAUUCAAGAUGUUUCACAGGAAUGUGUAUUUUGUGCUAUUUUGAUAUUGGAUGAUGAAUAUACUUCUAUGUAUAACUGUGUCGAAUUCAUUUGAUAUAUUUGAGGUCUUCUUCCCUGGGACUUCACGAUAAAUCGUAUGGUAUGCGUUGAAUUUGGCUUGAAACUAUACUCAAAAUUCAAGUGCAGCAAGCAUUUAUCGAUGUAUGCAUAGGAUGUGUGCAUAACAUCAAGACUUUUACAAUCAGUCUCACAUGGUGAAUUGCGUUAUGGAUUUUCAAAAGACGGCGGUGUAUUGAAUUUUUUUUUUAGGAUGGAUAUACAUGUAUUGAUAUUUUCCCGCGUUUCGCUAGUAUAGCGGGAAAAUGUUGUAUU